UGUUGCUUCAGCAACACAUAUACUAAAAUUGAAAUGAUGCAGAGAAGAUCAGCAUGGCCCUUGCUCAAGGAUGACACACAAAUUCGUGAGGCGUUGCAUAUUUUU